GUAAGAUCAAAUCCUUUACCCGUGAUCUGGAACUUCAGGUUCCCCAGUGAGAGUGUGUGUUUGGGGGCAGACAAUCCCCCUUUCACACAUUGGGCACUCACAGUUUUUUGGCUGUCUCCAGGCGCCCUGCAGGAGCAAUCUGCUUCCUUCAAAGAGUCUGUGGGUUAUCUCAGCUUUCCUGUUCUUCUUGAUUUUUGAAUGUGAAGGCAGGGAUUUCAACCUGGGCAACAAGUCCACAGAACAUGAGAUUUCUGAAGGUGUGUGGGAUACAUCAUGGUUACAUAAAAAUCCUUUCACUAUAGUUCCUGCUUCCCUAUCUUCAAAAUGAUUCCCUGAAGACUUCCGCCAUGACGGUCUAAAGCCUAACCUCUGAACUGUGGAUGGAAAAUUGAACUCCUUGAUGUGAUCUCUGCACAUCAUGCAACCCUAAACCUAAAUAUAUUCUCUGUGUGGGAGCCCCAUUAUUUUUAGUCUAAUACAUUUUAAGUCAUCUUAAAAAAUUAUAUUUUGUUUUCUUUUAUAUGGUCGAUUUUACCUUGUUUUCUUUGACUAUUACUUGUUGUCUUGUAUGAGAUUCUACUGGUCUCAAGGCUUAAACCUCACAAUCUUCAGGGUCUGAUGGAUUUCUCUCUAUUUUCUAAGUUCCCUGGGAUAUGUUUGAUGAGUUUUUGUGGCAGAGAAGCAGAGAAAGGAGAAAGGUGAUGUCUAUACUACUUCCUUUUUCUCCCCAGCCACAAAUGCCAGAGUCUAUAAAGAGACCCUGAGAAGCAAGCUCUGUGCAGAGUCACUUCUAAGAAAUACCAGGAUAAAAUGUAGGUGAGAGACAUUUGUGUGAAAAAAGGGAUGAGAGAGAGGAGGAAGGAUUGAGAAAAUUUUCAAGGCAGAAAGGGACCUAUAUCUUCUAAUUUGGCAAAAUGGGAGAGGUAGGUAGGAGAUGGGAAUGCUCUCUUAUCUAUCUCGCCUUUUGGAUGGAGAUUAAUAACACAACCCAGGAGAAAGUGAUCCUUAGGAAGCCCAAAUGACUGAAAACAGCCCUCGAGUAUACCAAUUGGACAAGUUGGGGUGAAGGAGACCUAGUUAUUGUAAUACAUAGGUAGAGAUUGUGGUUGUGAGACUGUUGGGUGAUUAACUCAUAGAUGUUCCAAAGUCAUCUGUCAGCUAAAAUAGCUGUCAUUAGGAAUGCUUGAAAGGUUUCAAAGAAUACUUCAGUAGCAAUGAGCAUACCUAGGACCUAGAUCUGGGCUUCUAAAUCUCAUUCUCCACUAAAAGAAUCUGGGUCUCCUUGCACAAGUGGCUGAUUCCAGGUCCAGGGCGUGAAAAGUACAAAGUGAACUUGGAACAUUUCUGUGCCACAAAGCAAGAAAGUGAUCAAAGAAUAAAGGGGACAUGUUGCAAAGGACCCAGGAGCUUGCUUAAAGAGGCUUCCAUUACCUACAUUUGAGAUAAUCUGAGUAUCAUCAUGACUAUUGAUGAUAAUGGAAUAUAACCCAGAUAACAAAAUAAAAAUCUGUAAGUCCAUACUAAUGUAAGUAAAUAAAUGAGGAAAUAAAUGAUGGAGAAGUGAACUCUUUUCCUUAUAGUAGAAUCCCAAAGAAUAAAGAUAGAGAAAAUGAUGGACUUGGAAAAUCACCAUUUGGCAGUCCCUAUAGUAAUAAUUGUUUCAGGUAAAAAUAAACAGAUUCGAAAAUCAGAGUAUGAUGAAAACCAGGAUACUUAAUAUACAUUGUCUCAAAGUAUAUCUCUACAACAUAUUUAUUAAUUUCAAAGAAAAAACUUUCUUUACAUUGGAUAAACCUGAUAGAAAUCACCUCGACUAUAUGAUCAAAGUUCACAUCACCAAUAAUGGGACACAUAGACAUCAUGUGCUUCCUGAGAAGGACAUAACAACAUUUCUAUGAUAUUUCUGUCAAAAAUGCAUAAUCUGAAUCUAAUCAUGAAGGGGUAAUCAGACUAACCCAAAUCAAAGGUUUGUCUACACAAUAACUAGUUUGAAUUAUUCAAAUACUGAGAUCAUGAAAUAAAAGAAAGAAUGAACUGUUUCAGAUUAAAGAAGAACAAACAGACAUGACAACCAAAUGUAACUUGUGAUUCUGGAUUUAUCCCUGGACAAUGUAAAGCACAUUAGUGGGGCAACUGGCAAAAUCUGCAUAUGUAAUUUGUCUACAAAUUGUCCACAAAUUGGAUAAUAGUUUUGGUAUUGGUAAUGGUAAUGAUAUUAUAUCAGUGUUAAUUGUCUGAUUUUGGUAAUUGCACUGUGAUUAUUGAAGAGAAUAUCAUGAUUUUUAGAAACUACAACUGCAGUAUGUAAAGCUAAAGAAAUAUUCUGUCUGAAAUUUGCUCUCUGGGACCUAUAUCUUCUAAUUUGGUGAAAUAGGUAGGAGAGGUAUGUAGGAGGAAUUUGUUUUAGGAAACAAAUUGUAUAUCUUUGUAUAUGUGAAUGACAAAGAAAGUGUGAUAAAAUGAUAAUACUAGAGGAAUACUUGAGAUGCA
rnacentral:lncRNA from 10 species